rnacentral:tRNA from 1 species
GCCGGAGUGGCGAAAUGGCAGACGCAGCAGACUCAAAAUCUGCCUACGCGGAAGCGUAGUGUGGGUUCAAGUCCCACCUCCGGCACCA